GGGAGUCAGAACAUGGGUGAUAAGGUCCGUGUUCGAAAGGGAAACAGCCCAGACCACCAGCUAAGGUCCCAAAAUAUAUGUUAAGUGGAAAAGGAUGUGGCGUUGCCCAGACAACUAGGAUGUUGGCGUAGAAGCAGCCAUCAUUUAAAGAGUGCGUAAUAGCUCACUAGUCGAGUGACACUGCGCCGAAAAUGUACCGGGGCUAAACAUAUUACCGAAGCUGUGGAU
rnacentral:rRNA from 1 species